AUUGAACGCUGGCAGCAGGCCUAACACAUGCAAGUCGAGCGGAUGAAGGGAGCUUGCUCCUGGAUUCAGCGGCGGACGGGUGAGUAAUGCCUAGGAAUCUGCCUGGUAGUGGGGGAUAACGUCCGGAAACGGGCGCUAAUACCGCAUACGUCCUGAGGGAGAAAGUGGGGGAUCUUCGGACAUCACGCUAUCAGAGGAGCCUAGGUCGGAUUAGCUAGUUGGUGGGGUAAAGGCCUACCAAGGCGACGAUCCGUAACUGGUCUGAGAGGAUGAUCAGUCACACUGGAACUGAGACACGGUCCAGACUCCUACGGGAGGCAGCAGUGGGGAAUAUUGGACAAUGGGCGAAAGCCUGAUCCAGCCAUGCCGCGUGUGUGAAGAAGGUCUUCGGAUUGUAAAGCACUUUAAGUUGGGAGGAAGGGCAGUAAGUUAAUACCUUGCUGUUUUGACGUUACCAACAGAAUAAGCACCGGCUAACUUCGUG
rnacentral:rRNA from 1 species